rnacentral:lncRNA from 1 species
AAACAAACAGGACAACAAAAGCUGCUGGCAUUUUAUCGCUAUUUAUUUCGAAGGCAGGGGAACGGCAGCUCGGAAACAAGCCACUGGAAGCUCGGAGUGACUCAUAAAAUGGCAUGGUGGUUCUUGCCCAGGAGUCAGUGCAAAUACUUGCUGCCUGCCUCUCCUGGAAGCUGCGGCUUUCAGUUACAGAGUUGGUGCCUGUUUCGUCAUGUUCUACCACCUGACGGGAGGUCGCUGGAGCUCCAUGAGGCUUCAGGGUCCCUCCACGCAUUGCUCUUGCAAUAUAAGUGAUAGACGCUUUCUGCAGUAAAAAGCUGAGGGCUGAGCUUACCAUCUGAAGUUGUAUAUUUGAAGGAAGCCGUGUAUGCAUGGCUGAAUGGAUUUGACUUUACAAGUUUGGAGGAGAAUAAGCUUGCAAAGAUACGUAAGGAGUAAAGAAGAAUAUAAAGAAAGGCACUGCUAUGUGUUGAGUUUGUCAGAGACAGCGAAGGGGCCUAUCCCAGAUCAUCAGGGCAAGCACAGGGCCAGGUGUCUGGUUGUAUUUUUGUGGACGGGAGCAUCAAGGUAACAAAGCUAUUGGGACACUGAUCCAAAGGUGGAUUUUUCUAGCCUGACUUGGAUUCGGACCCUUGAAAGAAAUGAAAGGAACAGGCAUGAAACAGGAUGAGGAUGCUGCUCUUCCACCUGCCUCCCAGAGUAAACCAGGCCAACGGUGCUCCUACAUGCCUGGAUGCAGACACUGAGGGCCAGCUUACUAAAUCUUGUCUGGUACCUGCUCAAUGGGCAGGGGAAAAACAGCAAUAUGGUGUGAUCUUAGGGCAUUUCUCAG